UGCGGUAAGAACUUGGAUCUCAACAUAAAAAGGGUGCAUACCCUUUUAACACGACGCAAACCGGCAUCUUGCGGGCGCGCGCGGCGGCCACGGCAGAGCUCACCGGCGGCGCCCACGCGGCAUGGCGGAGGGCUAGCAACGCGGAAAUGAAAGCGGCGCGCAGAAUAAUUCUAAGUGGCACGAAGACCACCACAACAUCCUUAAGGAGAACGACGGC
rnacentral:lncRNA from 1 species